UGCUGUGAUGAGAUCACUACUAGGAAGUGUUGUCACAAGCAAUAACUAUUCCUACAUGGUUGCUGUUU